ACCUUUGCACAGUGGCAGUAUCGUAGCCAAUGAGGUUUAUCCAAGGCGCAAUUAUUGCUAAUUGAAAACUUUUCUACUACCUUAAAUUUUAUUAGCAUUUCCACUUUUAAAACUGUUUUUUUCUUGUAAGAA
rnacentral:snRNA from 1 species